CCUUUCCAACAACUUUCAAUCACAGAACACUUCAAACAUUCCCCUUCUUCUACCAUAACAUUUUCCCACUCCCCUGCCUGCCUUUAUGAGACUCCAAUGAGAACUGAAAUGAGGUGAAGAUUUUCCCAUGUACUCUCCAGACACACAACUCCUCCGUUGUGCUUUGUGUUGCUGUAAAUCCACUAAUCCGACAUGCCUUUUGCCUCAGUAGAGUACCCAAAGAGUGAGUGACAUGCAAGUCUUUCUUUCUUUACACUUCC
rnacentral:lncRNA from 1 species